UUAAGCGACUAAGCGUACACGGUGGAUGCCCUGGCAGUCAGAGGCGAUGAAGGACGUGCUAAUCUGCGAAAAGCGUCGGUAAGGUGAUAUGAACCGUUACAGCCGGCGAUGUCCGAAUGGGGAAACCCAGUGUGAUUCGUCACACUAUCGUUAACUGAAUACAUAGGUUAACGAGGCGAACCGGGGGAACUGAAACAUCUAAGUACCCCGAGGAAAAGAAAUCAACCGAGAUUCCCCCAGUAGCGGCGAGCGAACGGGGAGCAGCCCAGAGUCUGAAUCAGCUUGUGUGUUAGUGGAACGGUCUGGAAAGUCCGACGGUACAGGGUGAUAGUCCCGUACACCAAAAUGCACAGGCUGUGAACUCGAAGAGUAGGGCGGGACACGUGGUAUCCUGUCUGAAUAUGGGGGGACCAUCCUCCAAGGCUAAAUACUCCUGACUGACCGAUAGUGAACCAGUACCGUGAGGGAAAGGCGAAAAGAACCCCGGCGAGGGGAGUGAAAAAGAACCUGAAACCGUGUACGUACAAGCAGUGGGAGCACCUUCGGGUGUGACUGCGUACCUUUUGUAUAAUGGGUCAGCGACUUAUAUUCUGUAGCAAGGUUAACCGUAUAGGGGAGCCGCAGGGAAACCGAGUCUUAACUGGGCGUUAAGUUGCAGGGUAUAGACCCGAAACCCGGUGAUCUAGCCAUGGGCAGGUUGAAGGUUGGGUAACACUAACUGGAGGACCGAACCGACUAAUGUUGAAAAAUUAGCGGAUGACUUGUGGCUGGGGGUGAAAGGCCAAUCAAACCGGGAGAUAGCUGGUUCUCCCCGAAAGCUAUUUAGGUAGCGCCUCGUGAACUCAUCUUCGGGGGUAGAGCACUGUUUCGGCUAGGGGGUCAUCCCGACUUACCAACCCGAUGCAAACUACGAAUACCGAAGAAUGUUAUCACGGGAGACACACGGCGGGUGCUAACGUCCGUCGUGAAGAGGGAAACAACCCAGACCGCCAGCUAAGGUCCCAAAGUCAUGGUUAAGUGGGAAACGAUGUGGGAAGGCACAGACAGCCAGGAUGUUGGCUUAGAAGCAGCCAUCAUUUAAAGAAAGCGUAAUAGCUCACUGGUCGAGUCGGCCUGCGCGGAAGAUGUAACGGGGCUAAACCAUGCACCGAAGCUGCGGCAGCGACACUAUGUGUUGUUGGGUAGGGGAGCGUUCUGUAAGCCUGCGAAGGUGUGCUGUGAGGCAUGCUGGAGGUAUCAGAAGUGCGAAUGCUGACAUAAGUAACGAUAAAGCGGGUGAAAAGCCCGCUCGCCGGAAGACCAAGGGUUCCUGUCCAACGUUAAUCGGGGCAGGGUGAGUCGACCCCUAAGGCGAGGCCGAAAGGCGUAGUCGAUGGGAAACAGGUUAAUAUUCCUGUACUUGGUGUUACUGCGAAGGGGGGACGGAGAAGGCUAUGUUAGCCGGGCGACGGUUGUCCCGGUUUAAGCAUGUAGGCUGAUUGUCCAGGCAAAUCCGGAUAAUCAAGGCUGAGGUGUGAUGACGAGGCACUACGGUGCUGAAGUAACAAAUGCCCUGCUUCCAGGAAAAGCCUCUAAGCAUCAGGUAACAUUAAAUCGUACCCCAAACCGACACAGGUGGUCAGGUAGAGAAUACCAAGGCGCUUGAGAGAACUCGGGUGAAGGAACUAGGCAAAAUGGUGCCGUAACUUCGGGAGAAGGCACGCUGGUGUGUAGGUGAAGCCCCUGCGGGUGGAGCUGAGACCAGUCGAAGAUACCAGCUGGCUGCAACUGUUUAUUAAAAACACAGCACUGUGCAAACACGAAAGUGGACGUAUACGGUGUGACGCCUGCCCGGUGCCGGAAGGUUAAUUGAUGGGGUUAUCCGUAAGGAGAAGCUCUUGAUCGAAGCCCCGGUAAACGGCGGCCGUAACUAUAACGGUCCUAAGGUAGCGAAAUUCCUUGUCGGGUAAGUUCCGACCUGCACGAAUGGCGUAAUGAUGGCCAGGCUGUCUCCACCCGAGACUCAGUGAAAUUGAACUCGCUGUGAAGAUGCAGUGUACCCGCGGCAAGACGGAAAGACCCCGUGAACCUUUACUAUAGCUUGACACUGAACAUUGAGCCUUGAUGUGUAGGAUAGGUGGGAGGCUUUGAAGCGUGGACGCCAGUCUGCGUGGAGCCAACCUUGAAAUACCACCCUUUAAUGUUUGAUGUUCUAACGUUGGCCCCUUACCGGGGUUGCGGACAGUGUCUGGUGGGUAGUUUGACUGGGGCGGUCUCCUCCCAAAGCGUAACGGAGGAGCACGAAGGUUAGCUAAUCCUGGUCGGACAUCAGGAGGUUAGUGCAAUGGCAUAAGCUAGCUUGACUGCGAGCGUGACGGCGCGAGCAGGUGCGAAAGCAGGUCAUAGUGAUCCGGUGGUUCUGAAUGGAAGGGCCAUCGCUCAACGGAUAAAAGGUACUCCGGGGAUAACAGGCUGAUACCGCCCAAGAGUUCAUAUCGACGGCGGUGUUUGGCACCUCGAUGUCGGCUCAUCACAUCCUGGGGCUGAAGUAGGUCCCAAGGGUAUGGCUGUUCGCCAUUUAAAGUGGUACGCGAGCUGGGUUUAGAACGUCGUGAGACAGUUCGGUCCCUAUCUGCCGUGGGCGCUGGAGAAUUGAGGGGGGCUGCUCCUAGUACGAGAGGACCGGAGUGGACGCAUCACUGGUGUUCGGGUUGUCAUGCCAAUGGCACUGCCCGGUAGCUAAAUGCGGAAGAGAUAAGUGCUGAAAGCAUCUAAGCACGAAACUUGCCCCGAGAUGAGUUCUCCCUGAGACUUUAAGUCUCCUGAAGGAACGUUGAAGACGACGACGUUGAUAGGCCGGGUGUGUAAGCGCAGCGAUGCGUUGAGCUAACCGGUACUAAUGAACCGUGAGGCUUAACCUU
rnacentral:rRNA from 1 species